rnacentral:rRNA from 1 species
UACGUAGGGGGCUAGCGUUGUCCGGAAUCAUUGGGCGUAAAGCGCGUGUAGGCGGUCCGGUAAGUCCGCUGUAAAAGUCGGGGGCUCAACCCUCGGAUGCCGGUGGAUACUGUCGGGCUUGAGUACGGAAGAGGCGAGUGGAAUUCCUGGUGUAGCGGUGAAAUGCGCAGAUAUCAGGAGGAACACCGAUUGCGAAGGCAGCUCGCUGGGACGUUACUGACGCUGAGACGCGAAAGCGUGGGGAGCAAACAGG